AACGAACGCUGGCGGCAUGCCUAACACAUGCAAGUCGAACGAGACCUUCGGGGCUAGUGGCGCACGGGUGCGUAACGCGUGGGAACCUGCCUUUAGGUUCGGAAUAACUCAGAGAAAUUUGAGCUAAUACCGGAUGAUGUCUUCGGACCAAAGAUUUAUCGCCUUUAGAUGGGCCCGCGUUGGAUUAGCUAGUUGGUGGGGUAAAGGCCUACCAAGGCGACGAUCCAUAGCUGGUCUGAGAGGAUGAUCAGCCACACUGGGACUGAGACACGGCCCAGACUCCUACGGGAGGCAGCAGUGGGGAAUAUUGGACAAUGGGCGAAAGCCUGAUCCAGCAAUGCCGCGUGAGUGAUGAAGGCCUUAGGGUUGUAAAGCUCUUUUACCCGAGAUGAUAAUGACAGUAUCGGGAGAAUAAGCUCCGGCUAACUCCGUG
rnacentral:rRNA from 1 species